rnacentral:sRNA from 1 species
AAAUCGCGAUAGGGAUUGAAGCGGCAUCCUUUUGCUCCUUCGGCAAAAGAUACAGUGGAAAGCCCGGUCCCGC